AUGGCGGCCAACCACCACCUCCGCCGCCUCGCCUCCGCGUCGGCCCCCGCUCUCUCCCGCCUCUCCAAGCCCCCUCCCUCGCCGCUCCUCCGCCCCGCGUUCUCCAGCUCCGCCUCCCCCGCGGAUCAGCCGGCGGCGGCGGCGGGCGCCGCUGCAGCCGAGAAGGGGGAGGCCCAGAGCGCCGUGAAGGAGGCGGACGAGGCGCAGGGCGGUGGUGCUGGCGCGCGGAAGGCGGGGGAGGAGGAGGAUGAUGACGGCGGCCUGGACAUAAACGAGGCAACUGGCGAGAUCGGCGGCCCGCAUGGGCCCGAGCCCACCCGGUACGGCGACUGGGAGCGCGGCGGCCGCUGCUCUGACUUCUGA
rnacentral:rRNA from 1 species